UCCGAGAGAUUUUCUGCUUAAGACACUUCAAAAAGAGUAGUUAAACUCGUCGUACUCUUGUUUCAAGUUAUUGGCCAGCAUGUGAUUAAGCACCCUUCAGCUUAAGGAAGCUGUUCUCUGAAGCGGUUAUGAGGGGGGAGAUGCAGUUAAGGAUCAGGGAGCUGGAGCACCUCCCUUUGAGGACAGGCUGAGAGUUGGGGUUGUUCACCUUAGAGAAGUCUCGGGGAGACCUUAUUGCAGUCUUCCAGUACCUAAAGGGGGCUUAUAAGAUGGGGAGGGGCUUUUUAGUAGGAGUUGUGAUCGCAUAAGGGGCAAUGGUUUUAAACUAAAAGUAAAUAGAUUCAGACUAGAUACAAGGAGGAAACUUUUUAUGAUGAGGGUGGUGAAACACUGGAACAGGUUGCCCAGAGAUGAGAUAGAUGUCCCAUCCCAGGAAACAUUCAAAGUCAGGUUGGAAGGGGCUCUGAGCAAUCUGAUCUAGUUGGAGAUGCCCCUCUUCAUUGCAGGGGGCUGGACUAGAUGACCUUUAAAUGUCCCUUUCAACUCAGACUAUUCUGUGAUUCUUUAAGCGGUUUGAGUCAUAUUUUCUAGCUGCAGUUGAAAAGCUUAAGUUAAAACAUGGUAACUGUUUUGUUUUUUUUUUACUAUUUGUGAUGAUUUGCUGGAUCUGGCCUCAGUCUGCAGAGUUUUCUCUGAAGCUGACUGCUGAGGAAACUUCACUUCCCUUCUAGAAAACCAGAACACCCCACCAAGCCUACAACUGACUCUGUAACCAGGGAGCUCUCGAACACUGUAAGGCUCCUGAAGGUUUGGGAGCGAAGCUUCGGAGGCUCCAGGAGCACCUGUUACCCCUAAACUUGUGUUAACUGUGGCCAAAGGAAUCAGGGAAAAGUUCUGCUAUAACCAGCCUCAUCCCCUCCCUUUAACUUUUAUUAAACUAAGCUGUUGAUGAUAACCUGAAGAUGCAUGUGGUUAAUCUCCUGAGACAACUGAAGAGAUUUCUAGGAAGAAAAAAAAAAUGAGAAAGAACAGUCAAUAAACCGAGCUGGUGUUGUUCAAGAGGAUAUUCAGCCUGCAGGGUUAAAAGUGUGGUCUGAUCCAUUUGGAAGAAAGUAAUGUUGGCG